CCUGGCAGCUUGCAAAGAGAGAAGUCACAGGAAGGCACUACAGAGAGUGAUCAAUUCGGCACAAUAAACUAUUGGUUGCCCUCGAACAACACUGGAUGACAUCGCCAGGUCUCGCUGUUUUAGCAGACUAAGGAAGAUACUCAGAGAUGAUUCACACCCUGUUCAGUGUCUCUUCGCACUUCUACCAUCGGGCAGAAGACAUUGAAGCAGUGGUGAAAUCCAAAUUUUUUUACUACUGGUUCUGUGGGCAUGGCUUGGUGGGCAUUGGGUGGCUUGGUGGGCGUGGCUUGGUGGGCAUGGCAGGGGAAGGAUACUGCAAAAUCCCCAUUCCCACCCCACUCUGGGGCCAGCCAGGGGUGGUAUUUGCCGGUUCUCUGAAUUACUCACAUUUUCUGCUACCGGUUCUCUGAACUGCUCAAAAUUUCCGCUAUGGGUUCUCCAGAACCUGCUGGAUUUCACCCCUGCAUUGAAGCAUAGCGAGCUGAACAAAUAAGUUUAAAAAUAGUUUCUAUCCUUGGGCUGUCAGAUUCUUAAACACAACCACAAUCACUCCACCCACACGCGGAAACGUAUGACUAGUUUUUCUUUUUCUUUCUUUUUCUUUUUUCUCCCUAAUUACUUGCAUUGGGAUUAUUCUUUAUACUAUUUAUGUUGUUUAUAUUUUUUUGUCAUGGAUUGACCAGUGAGGCUAAAAUCAAUUUCGUUGUAGACAUGAUGUACAAUGACAAUGAAGGCUAUCCUGUAUUUAACCUGCCUCUUUUUCUGUCUCUCGAGUCAAAUUCAGUUUUUAAAUAAGAGCUUCAAACCAGUUACAAUAAUGAGCAAUAAAGGUGACCUGAAGAAAACCAUGGUUAAAGGUGUUAUUCCUAAUUUGUGAAUACGUGGGGUUAUUCACAAACUUGAGUUUGAGAUUGUGGAAGCUGAUCAGAAACUGCUAUCGUCAGGAUCAACAUGUGAGCAUCUGGGUUUGAUGCAGUUCACCAUUCCAGCUGACUUAUACAAUGUUGGGAUUCACCCUUCAAAACCUUUGACGAGGCCACUAACAAAACAGCAAAUCCUAGAGUGGCAAUGUAAUACAGGAAACAACUACAAUAGAGAAGAAUGAUAGAACUGCAUGUAAGGUAGACAUAACACCUGUAACAAUGAUGUGCAGACUCCCUUACAUGUCCUUGAUAUGCCUAGGAUGCCCUUCCA